GGCGAGGACUCAAAUCGAAGAAGCUUUGGAUAAUGGAGAAUAUACAGCUCUGAUUGACUCCAUACGGCAGAGUUAUGACGAACAGAAAAUCAAACAGAUAAUUGUGGCUCUUAUUGAUUUCAAACUAGAGAAAAGCUAUGACGAAGAGCAAAUAAAACGGAUGAUAUUUUGUGCUAUAGCUUGCACAAAUAGACAUUCAAAGUAUCGCCCACAAAUGCGGAAGAUAAUUGGAGUUCUU
rnacentral:misc_RNA from 1 species